rnacentral:tRNA from 1 species
GGAGUUGUAGUUCAGCUGGUUAGAACGCCUGCCUGUCACGCAGGAGGUCGCGGGUUCGAGUCCCGUCAAUUCCGCUU